GUAAAACUUUCAGCGACGGAUGUCUUGGCUCCCACAACGAUGAAGAACGCAGCGAAAUGCGAUACGUCUUGCGACUUGCAGAAUCCAGNAAUCAUCAAAACUUUGAACGCAUCUUGCGCUUCCGGGAUAUGCCUGGGAGCAUGCUUGUCGGAGUGUCUGUUG
rnacentral:rRNA from 1 species